GUUGAUGCCGGAAGUGAUGGGCAAGCCCGUUUGUUUAAUUUGUGGAGAAGCUGUUGUCGUUCUCAAAAAGCGCAAUCUCGAGAGACAUGACACCUGCAGACAUGCAAUAUAUGUUACUCCUGAAGGAAUGGUGCGAGUGGAGAAAAUCAAGGCGUUGUCGCUGCACAACAAGUGUCUUAUCCUGCGGCCUGAAAAGGAGCUGGGCUGUGUCUCAGAGGCAAGUUACGUGGAAAUGCUUGAUUUCUUGGCCACCAGAAGAGCUGCUCACAGACUGCUGCUGCUGUUGACGUGUGAGGAAGAAAAUGGCCAUCUCCAGGAUGUCUGCUUUCUCCAGCUUGGAGUCUGGCUGCUGCUGCAGGAAUGCUGGUCCAAGGAGAGACUUGAGCUGCUCAAUGCUGCUGUUGAUACGAUCUCUGCGCAUCUUCUCCCCCAUCGGUUUUCUCAGCUGCACGAACAAGACAGGAAAUCUGUUAAUAAUCUGGAUCUGGAAUACAACAUGACUGAAGCUAAUGAAAAAUGACAUACGCAUUUCUUCAGAGAUCAAGUUCUGAAUUUACCUUAUUGGUCAGAAUCAGGUGCUCCUUAGGGCAGGUCAUUGCUGCAGGUACUGUAGGUGCCAUGGCUGUGUGUCUGUGCUGUAGAGGUCUCUGUGUAGAGUGAGUCUGAUCUGUGCUGGCUUCACCUCUCUUAUUUAUAGUCCCAAAUCUACAUACCAAUGUGUGGGUCUUGCUCUUGUUGGAGUUUCCCACAGUAUGCAGCCAAUGGGAGAGCUUGUGGGGACAAUGAGGCACGUGUGGCUGUCACAUGCUGAAUGAAGUGCUUAUUGCUGGGGGACAAUGGCUGUGUCUCAGGGGAACAGGUGGAGGGGUGGGGGUGAUGGAGAGAGAGUCACAGAGAGCUGAGAGAAUCUGGGAAUAUGGUGACCCUUGAGAGAGCAGAUCUGCUGCCUGAUGUUGGGAUCAAUGAUACAGACAGAGCACACGCUCAUCAUCUCCAUGUACACGUGUGGGACUGACACACAUCUCCAGCAUCACACUUUACUCUGCUCCAUGAUCCAACAUGACAUCUGCAUUCUUCACUGUAGCCUUCUCUCACACAUAUAUACACUGUCAGUCAGAUUUUACAGCUUUCAGAUGGAUUUGACCUCAAAGAAAACUGCAGGUGCUUCACACUUCACACUUGGAGCUUUUCAACCAUCAAUAUUUUAUUGAUUGUGCAUAUUUGGGAUUCAUAUUUUAAAAAUAAAAGAAAUUGAUGUUUUGGCUA